rnacentral:rRNA from 1 species
ACGGAAGGCAGCAGUCGGGAAUAUUGCGCAAUGGAGGCAACUCUGACGCAGUGACGCCGCGUAUAGGAAGAAGGUUUUCGGAUUGUAAACUAUUGUCGUUAGGGAAGAAAUUUGACAGUACCUAAGGAGGAAGCACCGGCUAACUAUGUGCCAGCAGCCGCGGUAAUACAUAGGGUGCAAGCGUUAUCCGGAUUUAUUGGGUGUGAAGGGUGCGUAGACGGGAAUUUAAGUUGGUUGUGAAAUCCCUUGGCUCAACUGAGGAACUGCAACCAAAACUGAAUUUCUUGAGUGUCGGAGGGGAAAGUGGAAUUCCUAGUGUAGCGGUGAAAUGCGUAGAUAUUAGGAGGAACACCAGUGGCGAAGGCGACUUUCUGGACGAUAACUGACGUUGAGGCUCGAAAGCGUGGGGAGCAAACAGGAUUAGAUACCCUGGUA